ensembl:lncRNA
GUUGAAGUAAUUGUGAUGUGUUUUGGGUGACGCACACACUUGGGGCAUAGUAACCCAAAUUUCAUGUGCACGGUUUCCCUGUAGCCCACACUGCCCAAAUUUCAUGCACCCUUCACCCUCUUUUCCCUUUGUAAAAGGAGUGGUAUCUGUUUUGAGCUGCCAGUUCAGAUGAUCAGAAGUGCUGCUGUCCUCGGCAUUGUCUUGUUAAAAUGCAUGCUAUUUGGAACUUUGGCAGCAAGAAGCCAAAAGGAAGAGGUGAAUGACAUACAGUAAAUAUUCAACAAAAGUAAAAUUUAUAUGUUCAUCUACUUUCUACUUUCUACUUUCUAGUUCUCGGAAUAAGUUAAUAAGCUUUAUGACAUUGGGCUGCUGCAUAUUUUAUGUGAACAUAAGAGAAAAUUGGGCAUUUUUAGAUUGCAAUGUUUUUAAAAACUGUUAAACAUGAUUUCUGAUAUUUAAGAAUUGGAGUGUUCUUUAAAUUUAUUAAAACAGUGUUGUUUGAGGAAGGGAAAACUGCACUGUUUGCCAUUAUCAGUCAUACAAGUGCAUGUCAAGUCAUCCAUUCUCUCAGGCAUCAGUAUCUGCCUCAUAGCUUUACAUAUUUUGAUGGGGAAUAUUGCAGCAUCCUCAGGACUGACAUCUGAAAAAGGUUCAAAUCUACUUACUGCUCCUUGCUUGUUGACUUUGUUUUAAAAUAUUGUGCCUGGUGUCAACUUUUAAGCAACAGCACUGCCUAAAAGCAAGCAGAGAACAGAAUCCCAGCACCAUUCUAUAGGCAACUUUUUAGAAUUCAGAUAUAGUAAAUCUGUUCAAGAUUUAUGAUGUUUUAUGUAAAGAAAAUUUUGUAUAACAUAGUUGAAUAUUUUUAUUUCAUUUCUUUAAUGUAAGGCGUGUGAACCUUCAUUUGAAUAUCACAUGUUAAAGUCAGGUAUGGCACAAUGGGUUCUGAGACCAGCUUUCCCCCCUCCCAUUUGCCUUUUCCAAGCUCUUUCUUUUCAAAUUACUUUUCUGAUAUUCAUAGACAGAUAUUUAAUUUUACUAAUAAGCAUCCUGGGUGAAUGUAUUUAAAAAGCCACUGUGUUUUAGUGUUGUAGUUUGCAGAAAAUAUAAAGUUCUGUUUCUUAUUUGCUCCUUUUUUUGAUGUCUUCAAAGUUAUAUAUUAAAUCACAAAGAUGAAAAGGAGAAAGUAGAUAUCUAAGACUCAUAUCACUUAAGACAGAUUAGAGUGGAGGUUGUGGUACAUUAAAAUUGGAACAUGGGCAAACAUAUAUUGUGUUCCAUUUAAAAAUUCUUCCUCCUAAGUAUGUAUUGUUAAAUGGGUGAAAAUUUGUAUUUGCAUUUCCAAAAAUGUCUAAAAAUCACUAAUGCCAUCCAUACUUCCCAUAUGAAAUAGCAAGAAGAAAGCACAAGCAGAAAUAGGUUAGAUAUGUUCUUUGAAGGAACCAGUGGUACAGUAUAUGGUUUGUCAUUCCUGAUACAACUUUCUAGUAUUAAAAAUUGACUGUGUCCCAAUACGUAUUUGAUUCUAAGCUUUAUAUUCUAAGUUUGAUAUAUUUGAAUAGCUUUGCAAAAUAUGCUGACUGAUCAGUAGCUACAAUCACAGAAAAACAUGAUCAGUUUUUGCUACAUUAAUGGUUUUAUAGCAAACAGAGACUUUAUGGCAUGUUUCAGAAUGAGUCAUGCAUCUAUUUUGACAGAAAUGUGAAUUUUCACAUUUGCAAGGUUUUCACUUUUCUUGUACCUGCCUUUCCCUCUUAAAAAUAUCAUCUUUUUUAUGUGUUGAGAUUUGUUUACCUCCUUUCCUUUUAAAUUACAUUACAUUUUUAUAACUCUGUGAAAUACAAGUAGCACAUUAACUGGAAAAGUUGGAAUUAUUUUUCUAAACCAGGAACUUCAACUAAAGUUCUGAAUGUGUAGACAGGUGGGAGCUUUUAUGGUUGCUUUGGGUGAUUGUAAUUUUGUAAUGCCAUCAUGAUCACCAAAUUCAAAUUAAAAAAUAAGCAAAUUAGUAUAUCUUUAACCUGGCUCACUUACCAAAGUUGUAAUUUGUUUAAGAAUAGGAUUCCCAGGGCAUCUUUUCAUAAUUGUCACCUAAAAGCUAAAGGUAAAAAGAAAGCCCUUAUAUCAAUCACUACAGGAUGUUCUGAACAAGAGCCACAGAAAGAAGAAAGCAAAGCAAAACAAAACAAAAACCACAAUGGUUUUCAAGAAAGAGGUAAGGAAGAGCAUGCAUGUUUUUUGUUUUAACCAAAUACCUUCUUUAUGCAAAUUUUUCUGUUUAAUCAAAAGUCCUGCAGGAAGAAAUAGGGAAAUAACAAGAAAUAUAUUUUGGUAUAAGUUUGGUUAGACUUGAAUUAUUCUUAGACCAAAGGAAAAUAAGCAUGUUAAGGUUUUCAUUCAUCAAACAUGACAUUGAAGUAAUAGAGUAUUUUAAGGAAAAGUGUUUUUACUUUUAAAGCAAAUGAAUUAAGGACAUGUCUAUUAAAUUUUAAUUUUUUUAUGGCACAUCAUACAAACUGAGUAGUGUUGUUCUGAAAUUAGAAGUGUCAUCAGAAGUAAAUCACAUUAGGUUAAGGGCAUGCAAAUGCCAAGUGAUAUGACUCUUUUGGCAUAGUAGUAUGGCACAUUCGGCUUUCAGAAUCUUUUAGAAGGCAUAAUUUGGCUCUUAUUACUAGUUAAUUUUAUUACAACAAUUUCCCUUAUAAUUUCCGUGUCUGUUACUUUUAACUGUAAAGCAUAAGAAUCAUAGCCUUUUCAGAAGUCCUUUCUUGCUCGUUUCAGUUUUGUGUGAAUUUUAAAUUAGUGAUGUUUUCUUUGAAGCUACCAGUUGUUACAUAUAUGUACCACAUUUGUUUAAUUUGGCUGUAAUUAUCUGAACUCACAAAAUUGGCUCAGCAUUGAUGUGUCAGUGACUUUGCUUCUUAGUCAACAGGCUUAGUAACCUACUACUUGUUUCAGUCUUGACGCAGUGUAAUUGAUGCAGUAUCUGGGUUUAUAUUUAUUCAGAAACUAUAUUUUCCUUUCUCUUUGCUUGACUUGCUAGAAAUAUAUUCCCUUACCUGUGAAAUUCCUGAGCGGUGCUCUGCCAACUUUUAGAGUGGGGUGGUUUAGAUGGCUGUGUUACGGCAUCCUGGAUUUGGAAUUGUUCAGUGUUGUGAGUGGCAAAUUUCUUAAACACCAGCAGCACUGAGAAGUGCACUAUGGGCAUUGGUACAGUUGUCCAAAUGCAAACAGUUCUUUCAUCAAAGAGAAGCUGAGUUACAGAGUUCAAUAGGAGUAUUUGCAGUAUUUCAAGAAAGGCAAAUGUUUCAACUUUUUUGCCUCUGAAGUGGGGUAGUAUAGGUCCCCUGCCUUAAGAGAAUGUACUUAUAUUUUCUCUUUUAAAGGGCCCAGGUGUUUGGUCAAAUUCACUAUGGAUUAAUUUAAAUCUUCACAUUGUGAUUUCUUUCAACCAAAUAGUAAGUGCCAACUCCAUGUGGCUAUCUAUACUUCUACUCACUUUACCAUUUGAGUAGGGAAGAGUCCAUUUAUUUUCAUUACCUGGCAUUAAAUUAACUAAUUCAUUGUUUUGCAUACAUUUUAUUUACUCUAUGGCCUAUAAAAUGUUUUUUUAACUAAUUCUAAUGGUCAGAAAGCAAAGCACAUGAUUUUAAAAUUGAGCAAAGUAUUUAGUAAUUUUUCAACUGAACACUUUUGAUAGUUUCUGUUAAUGCUAUUCCAAAAUGGAUUGUUUUAGGUUACUUUGAUUUUGUCUGAAGAAAAAGCCAAACACUAAAUCAAUUUGUUGUUGUGUUCCAAUAAUCAGUUUGAAAUCUAACAUUUUCUUUUUUAAAUUAGAUGAUUUAAUGAAAUGCCACGUAAUUGUAGCUUACUAGUGUUUAGUGUUUAGUAGACUGAUUCUGUAGUGUUCUAAACAUUUAGCAUUGUCUGUCAUCCCUGGAGAAAGUGGUUCUAUUCUUAUUGAACACAUUCUCUCUGAAAAAAUCACCAGCUGCUUUAUUUUUCUAUUAAACAAUCGAUGAGUCUGAAUCUUGACCAAACUGCUCAGCUGAGAUGUAUUUCACAAUAGACACUGUACAAAAUGUGUGUGUAAAAGGACAGUUGGGUGGUAGUAUCUUUUCAUUAAUGUGAACAUUGACUAAACAAAGCAGUUCUGCCUUUUAUAUCUUGUGGCAGCUCAGAAGGGAGGUGCUUAAGAACCUUAACUACUGUCAGAUGACAAAAUACUUUUAUCCAUUUUGAAGAUUGGGUACUGCUCACAUAUGAUGUAUAGGGCUAAAUAUAUGCUUGUUUCCUUGCACUUGUGUACUUCUUUUCUCCCUCCCUUUCCUUCCCUGUAGGCAAUAAAUGGCCAUUUUGCAACUGCAUACUUUUGUCUUGGUUUUUGAUUCUGUAUUUGUGCAGUGAAAGUUUCUG